rnacentral:rRNA from 1 species
AGAACGAACGUUAGCGGCGCGCCUAACACAUGCAAGUCGCACGAGAAAGGGCUUCGGCCCCGGUACAGUGGCGCACGGGUGAGUAACACGUGGGUAAUGUUCCCUCAGGCAGGGGAUAACCUUCCGAAAGGAGGGCUAAUACCGCAUAAGACCACGGCCUCGAAAGAGGCUGAGGUAAAAGCAGGCCUCUUCAUGAAAGCUUGCGCCAGGGGAUCAGCCCGCGGCCCAUCAGCUAGUUGGCAGGGUAAUGGCCUACCAAGGCUAAGACGGGUAGCUGGUCUGAGAGGAUGAUCAGCCACACUGGAACUGAGACACGGUCCAGACUCCUACGGGAGGCAGCAGUGGGGAAUCUUGCGCAAUGGGGGAAACCCUGACGCAGCAACGCCGCGUGGAGGAUGAAGCCCCUUGGGGCGUAAACUCCUUUCGAUCGGGAAGAUAAUGACGGUACCGGAAGAAGAAGCCCGGCUAACUUCGUGCCAGCAGCCGCGGU